rnacentral:rRNA from 1 species
AUGAACGCUGGCGGCGUGCUUAACACAUGCCAGUCGCACGGUGAAGGCGGAGCUUGCUCUGCUGGAUCAGUGGCGAACGGGUGAGUAACACGUGAGCAAUCUGCCCCUGACUCUGGGAUAAGCGCUGGAAACGGCGUCUAAUACUGGAUACGAGCUGCGAAGGCAUCUUCAGCAGCUGGAAAGAAUUUCGGUCAGGGAUGAGCUCGCGGCCUAUCAGCUUGUUGGUGAGGUAAUGGCUCACCAAGGCGUCGACGGGUAGCCGGCCUGAGAGGGUGACCGGCCACACUGGGACUGAGACACGGCCCAGACUCCUACGGGAGGCAGCAGUGGGGAAUAUUGCACAAUGGGCGAAAGCCUGAUGCAGCAACGCCGCGUGAGGGACGACGGCCUUCGGGUUGUAAACCUCUUUUAGCAGGGAAGAAGCGAAAGUGACGGUACCUGCAGAAAAAGCGCCGGCUAACUACGUG